CAAAGAAACAGGAAUUGACAUUCGGAGAAAAAGAAAUAUGAAGAGUCACACCCCGAGUCUUGUAAAUGAGCUCAGGAAAUGAGAAGGGAGGGAAAGCCCCUGGGGCUGGUGGCCUGUGCUCCUGUCACUGCAGACAUCUGGGUUUUAAUGACAUGAUAUGGUCUCCGUGAGUCUCACUACCUCCCAGCUAAAAUGACAGCCGUUGGCCAGGAUCGAAGCUUCCAGCCCUUCACUGGGACACCUGCUCUGCAAGAACCUACUCUGUUGUCAUCGUUAAAUGCUUGGCAUUUCCUUACCUGAUUCAGAGACAGGAAGGUAUUCGAUGAUUCCUUCGUUUGCAGCACCUCAGAACUGAGGGGGAGGGGUGUUAUUUGGAAAGCCUCUUUGAAAGGAGAGCUCUGUCUCUCUUCACAAUCAACGCAUUGUGGAGAGAUGGUGUGCCUGUGAUUCCACUCCUCUGACUGGAAUGUGGAAAGGAUGCCUGGCUGUGGGAAUGAGAUUAGAAAAACUAGAAGAGCAUUUCAAAGAGACAGAUGAGUGAAAGGUAGAAAACAUUCAGUCCUUGGCUUAUAACAACCACAUGUCAAAUAUCCCCUGUUAUCAACUCAAAAUAAAACUGUAUAUAAAUGUUAAAUCUAAAGUAUAAAAAUCCUAAAAGACCCUG